rnacentral:rRNA from 1 species
GACGAACGCUGGCGGCGUGCUUAACACAUGCAAGUCGAACGAAGAGCGAUGGAAGCUUGCUUCUAUCAAUCUUAGUGGCGAACGGGUGAGUAACGCGUAAUCAACCUGCCCUUCAGAGGGGGACAACAGUUGGAAACGACUGCUAAUACCGCAUACGAUCUAAUCUCGGCAUCGAGGAUAGAUGAAAGGUGGCCUCUACAUGUAAGCUAUCACUGAAGGAGGGGAUUGCGUCUGAUUAGCUAGUUGGAGGGGUAACGGCCCACCAAGGCGAUGAUCAGUAGCCGGUCUGAGAGGAUGAACGGCCACAUUGGGACUGAGACACGGCCCAGACUCCUACGGGAGGCAGCAGUGGGGAAUCUUCCGCAAUGGACGAAAGUCUGACGGAGCAACGCCGAGUGAGUGAUGACGGCCUUCGGGUUGUAAAGCUCUGUUAAUCGGGACGAAAGGCCUUCUUGCGAACAGUUAGAAGGAUUGACGGUACCGGAAUAGAAAGCCACGGCUAACUACGUG